GGGGGUAUAGCUCAGUGGUAAAGCACCACAGAGUUAAAUCCACAGCAUAAUAAUAAUAAGUAAAUAAAUAAAUAAAUAUUAGUUCUAGGGGAUGUAGCUCAGUGAUAAGUUGCUUGCUUAGCAUGUGGGAGCUCUGGGUUUGAUUCCCAGUACUGUCA
rnacentral:tRNA from 1 species